UGAGUAACGCGUAGGUGACCUGCCCCGAAGUGGGGGAUAACUGCCCGAAAGGGUGGCUAAUACCGCAUGUGGCGACGCAUUCAUUUGUGUCAUCAAAGCCGCGAGGCGCUUCGGGAGGGGCCUGCGUCCGAUUAGCUCGUUGGUGGGGUAACGGCUCACCAAGGCGACGAUCGGUAGGUGGUCUGAGAAGACGAUCACCCAGACUGGGACUGAGACACGGCCCAGACUCC
rnacentral:rRNA from 1 species